rnacentral:rRNA from 1 species
CGCGUAGGCGGCCCGGUAAGUCCGCUCUGAAAGUCCAGGGCUCAACCCUGGAAAGCGGGUGGAUACUGCCGGGCUAGAAUCCGGAAGAGGCGAGUGGAAUUCCUGGUGUAGCGGUGGAAUGCGCAGAUAUCAGGAGGAACACCAAUAGCGAAGGCAGCUCGCUGGGACGGUAUUGACGCUGAGGCGCGAAAGCGUGGGAGCAAACA